CUCUUCCAAUGUGAAACAGUUAUAUUCUUGGGGAGGAAGAAAAGAUUGAUCCUAGAAGGAAAUCAUAGCAGUGAAAGGGCUUGGGCGGCUUUUGCUUUUACUUACCUGCGCCAAACAAAUUUGACUUCUGGAGUCAGUCAUUUUGGUGUCAAGAAAUUUCUUCCGCAUUCUACAACAGGUGACUUGGAGACAGUUGUUCUGUAGGUGAGCUUUUGGGAGCCAUUGAUCCAGAACUCUCCUACCAGGGCCCCCAGCACCGAGAUGUUCCCAACGUGGCUGGGAUCCAUUAGAGACUGAAGUGGCAGAGACCACUGUCGGCUGUGGUCUCAACUUCUUGGAGCAGAAGCCAAGAGAGAGCAGUCUGAAGACGUCUCAUCCACACAUCAGUUGAAGACCAGCCUUUGGAGGUUUCCAAAGUAGAUGGUGUGUCUCCCUUGGAUGGACCGCAUGACGUAACAUUCUGCAAAUUGCUGUCAGAGGUGCUAAGAACACAAACCCAUCUGGUUUCCAUUCCUCGUUGUUGAAUGGUGUUUGCUUCAGCAGCCCACUGAGGGCUCUUUUCCUCGGGAUUCUGAACUUGUAACUAGGAAUCCGAGCUGGGAAGAUGCUGAGUUCCAUCAAGUGUGUGUUGGUGGGAGACUCUGCUGUGGGGAAAACCUCUCUGUUAGUGCGCUUCACCUCCGAGACCUUCCCAGAGGCCUACAAGCCCACAGUGUAUGAAAAUACAGGUGUCGACGUCUUCAUGGAUGGCAUCCAGAUCAGCCUGGGCCUCUGGGACACAGCUGGCAAUGAUGCCUUCAGGAGUAUCCGCCCUCUGUCCUACCAGCAGGCAGACGUGGUGCUGAUGUGCUACUCCGUGGCCAACCAUAACUCCUUCCUGAACCUGAAGAACAAGUGGAUCGGUGAAGUCAGGAGCAACCUGCCCUGCACCCCCGUGCUGGUGGUGGCCACCCAGACUGACCAGCGGGAGGUGGGGCCCCACAGGGCUUCCUGCGUCAACGCCAUAGAAGGAAAGAGACUGGCCCAGGAGGUGAGAGCCAAGGGCUACCUGGAGUGCUCAGCCCUCAGCAACCGGGGGGUACAGCAGGUAUUUGAGUGUGCCGUCCGGACUGCCAUCAACCAGGCCAGGAGACGCAACAGAAGGAGGUUCUUCUCCGUUAACGAGUGCAAGAUCCUCUAAACCCCAAAGACUCUACGCAGCAGUCACUUACGGCAAAGACUAACUGGGACAGGGAGAGCAGGCAAGCCAGCAAGGGUCGAUGCGUCUCCUGGGCACGUCCUGAGCAGCCUGAAACAGCAUGAGCAGCAGCAGGAAACCUUUCGGAUACAGUUGUUGAUGAGACUUGGCUACUGGAUGCUUUAACGAAAUACCCUCUACCAAAGAACUCUUUGCCCAGUACGGUUAGAAGAUCCCUUGGGAAACUGUAAUGACUAUUCCAUCUUCGAUUACAAAACCAAAGUGGUCUCCGUGAUUUUGGAUAAUGAAGAAAAGGGCUGGGACCAGGGUCUGAGUCUCUGCAUCCAAGAUUCCCUCAGUCCUCUGGGGCUGACAUAUCUGCCUUCACCCGGACAGCUCCAGCUCUCCAGUCCCACAGCUCAUCCUCGGCUCUGUGUCACCUGUGUCCCUUGAUUUGAGAACUACUAUAUCCAGCU